rnacentral:rRNA from 1 species
UGGGGAAUAUUGGACAAUGGGCGCAAGCCUGAUCCAGCCAUGCCGCGUGAGUGAUGAAGGCCUUAGGGUUGUAAAGCUCUUUCACCCACGACGAUAAUGACGGUAGUGGGCGAAGAAGCCCCGUCUAACUUCGUGCCAGCAGCCGCGGUAAUACGACGGGGGCUAGCGUAGUUCGGAAUCACUGGGCGUAAAGCGUACGUAGGCGGACCGUUAAGUCGGCGGUGAAAUCCUGGGGCUAAACCUCAGAACUGCCUUCGAUACUGGCGGUCUCGAGUCCGGAAGAGGUGGGUGGAACUGGCAGUGUAGAGGUGAAAUUCGUAGAUAUUGGCAAGAACACCAGUGGCGAAGGCGGCUCACUGGUCCGGUACUGACGCUGAGGUACGAAAGCGUGGGGAGCAAACA